rnacentral:misc_RNA from 1 species
GAUGAAGAACGCAGCGAAAUGCGAUAAGUAAUGUGAAUUGCAGAAUUCAGUGAAUCAUCGAAUCUUUGAACGCACAUUGCGCCCUCUGGUAUUCCGGGGGGCAUGCCUGUUCGAGCGUCAUUAUAACCACUCAAGCUCUCGCUUGGUAUUGGAGUUCGCGAUCUCGCGGCUCCUAAAAUCAGUGGCGGUGCCUGUCGGCUCUACGCGUAGAAUACUCCUCGCGAUUGAGUCCGGUAGGUUUACUUGCCAGCAACCCCCAAUUUUUACAGGUUGACCUCGGAUCAGGUAGGGAUACCCGCUGAACUUAAGCAUAUCAAUAAGCGGAGGA